rnacentral:rRNA from 1 species
GACGAACGCUGGCGGCGUGCCUAAUACAUGCAAGUCGAACGCUGAAGGAAGAGCUUGCUUCCCUGGAUGAUUUGCGCACGGGUGAGUAUCGCGUAGGUAUCCUCCCUGGUUGCGGCGGAUAACUCUUGGAAACGAUGGCUCAUACAGCAUAAGAGUAGAUGUUCCAUGACAUUUGCUUAUAAGGUGCAAUUGUGUCACUACCAGUUGGACCUGCGUCGUAUUAGCUGAUUGGUGGUGUAACGGCUCACCAAAGCGACGAUACAUAGCCGACCUGAGAGGGGGAUCCGGCACACUGGGACUGGGACACGGCCCAGGCUUCUAAGGGAGGGAGCAGGAAGGGAUCUUUGGGAAUGGGGGGAAGGCUGACCGGGCAACGGCGCGGGAGUGAAGAAGGUUUUCGGAUCGUAAAGCUCUGUUGUAAGGGGAGGACGAGUGUUGGAGGGGAAAGUUCACACUGUGACGGUAUCUUAUCAGAAAGGGACGGCUAACUACGUG